rnacentral:lncRNA from 1 species
AUGCACCGAGCUGCGGGGAGUGUCCUGGGUUUCCAGCACUCCCAGUUUAAGCAAAACAGUAAUUACCAGUCCUGUGGGCUCCAUGAAGCGGCAGGAGUAGCUGUCAGCCGGGCGCAACGCUGUCAUGCCUUGUCCAGGGCUGGGGGAAAGGGACGUGGAACUCCUCCUCUGCCUCUCCGUCUCCGCUCGGAUGCCCAGAUUGAUUUCUUCGGAAUAAAUGAAGAAAGUAACUAUGAAAGCACAGCAUCUGCCUUCUGUUUUCAUCAACGAGGAGAAGUUCAUAACCAGGUAAAUUAUUAAAAAAUAUAUAUAUUUUAAUCACUUUUUUCCAAGUUAGUCCAUGUUUAUUCAUUACCAGGGGAUCUUGUGGAGAGCUGUGCCUGUAGCAGAAGCAGUUCCUACAACUUGCUUUCUGCCAAAUGUGCCCAGAACAAAGUUGCCCUUUGCAUGGAUUUCAAAGAGCAGAGCAUUAAACCCUUUGGUCUGCGGAUUAGUUCAUUAGGUAGAGCAGCACUUUUAGAGGAUACUGAAAUAAAACUCCAAAUUAGGGAAGAAGAGCUUCCUGU